rnacentral:tRNA from 1 species
GCCUGGGUGGCUCAGUCGGUUGAGCGUCUGACUUCGGCUCAGGUCAUGAUCUCACGGUUCAUGGGUUCAAGCCCCGCGUCAGGCU